rnacentral:rRNA from 1 species
UACGAAGGGGGCUAGCGUUGCUCGGAAUCACUGGGCGUAAAGGGUGCGUAGGCGGGUCUUUAAGUCAGGGGUGAAAUCCUGGAGCUCAACUCCAGAACUGCCUUUGAUACUGAGGAUCUUGAGUUCGGGAGAGGUGAGUGGAACUGCGAGUGUAGAGGUGAAAUUCGUAGAUAUUGGGAGGAACACCAGUGGCGAAGGCGGCUCACUGGACUGGUACUGACGCUGAUGCGCGAAAGCGUGGGGAGCAAACAGG